ACAGCUUAUAUCAUUCCCAGGGUCAGAGCUUGAUGAGAGGGGUCAUUUAAUCACUUGAAGGAGCAUGGGGUAGAUAUAGGGGCAAUGAUUCUGGAAUGAGAAUCCUGGAAGUUCAAAUCUCAACCAUGGCUUUUAUUUCUGCCUUUUGGACCACAUGCCCCAUUGCCCCCACCAAGAAUACCAGCAUAAUAAUGACUCUUCCAAAGAACUUACAUUCACUGGAGAACUAGGAACCAAUAAGACUGUUCUACCAACCAAUGCUAGAGUUAAAAGAUUCCAGAGGCAAUGGGUGGAAUCCUCACUCUAAUACUGGGAGACUGUCCUGGUACUGUGCAGCCAUUCUAAGAACUGUGUGGUGACUCCUGGCAUCUGGAAGGCCCAUCUCUGAUCUGGACUAAGGUCAGAGUCCACCAAGUCAAAGGGGAUCUGAAAAGGGUAGGAAACAGAGGGACUUGCCUAGGAACCUCACAUAGAGGAGGUGGCCAGGGGAGCUCUGGUGCUGGUGCCUCGGUGGUAUGGCUGUGCAACUGGUUAGGGGGAGGGGGGAGUGGCUAGGAGAGGGUCAAAGAUGGGCUAGUGGGGGCUGCUUAGAAGAGCCCCUGUGUGUAUCACACAGUUGGGCUGGUUGGGGUAUGUCUUAGGUCUGACAAGGG
rnacentral:lncRNA from 1 species